UCCCUUUUCAACACCUCGGCUGAAGUGCUUCUUCUCUAGUGCAUUGCUUCCCUUCAUAUGCUCUCUAUCUCAAUUUUCUAUCCAUAUUAGUUACAUUUUGCUAGGAAUACGAUUUAUUGGUAUUGCAUUGUGUCUUGGGAAUUUCUGAAGUGAAGUAUCCAUUUGGGCGAAUCAACUUCAGAAUGUCGCUGCUCGUCUAAAGAUGUGCACGUUUCUAAGAGUACUGGACAUGGUGUAAUUUCAAACCCGCUAUCAAGUAUGUUUAGAGAUGACAUUCAUAUUUGGUUUAAAGAGUGAGCCUGCUUCAUUCGGUGGAUGUGAGAAUAUGAUCAGGUGACAACAAUACAAAUCACCAAGCAAAUACUUAGCACAUCUGCAUAUUUAUUUAUU